rnacentral:rRNA from 3 species
GACGAACGCUGGCGGCGUGCCUAAUACAUGCAAGUCGAACGAACUCUGGCAUUGAUUGGUGCUUGCAUCAUGAUUUACAUUUGAGUGAGUGGCGAACUGGUGAGUAACACGUGGGAAACCUGCCCAGAAGCGGGGGAUAACACCUGGAAACAGAUGCUAAUACCGCAUAACAACUUGGACCGCAUGGUCCGAGCUUGAAAGAUGGCUUCGGCUAUCACUUUUGGAUGGUCCCGCGGCGUAUUAGCUAGAUGGUGGGGUAACGGCUCACCAUGGCAAUGAUACGUAGCCGACCUGAGAGGGUAAUCGGCCACAUUGGGACUGAGACACGGCCCAAACUCCUACGGGAGGCAGCAGUAGGGAAUCUUCCACAAUGGACGAAAGUCUGAUGGAGCAACGCCGCGUGAGUGAAGAAGGGUUUCGGCUCGUAAAACUCUGUUGUUAAAGAAGAACAUAUCUGAGAGUAACUGUUCAGGUAUUGACGGUAUUUAACCAGAAAGCCACGGCUAACUACGUGCCAGCAGCCGCGGUAAUACGUAGGUGGCAAGCGUUGUCCGGAUUUAUUGGGCGUAAAGCGAGCGCAGGCGGUUUUUUAAGUCUGAUGUGAAAGCCUUCGGCUCAACCGAAGAAGUGCAUCGGAAACUGGGAAACUUGAGUGCAGAAGAGGACAGUGGAACUCCAUGUGUAGCGGUGAAAUGCGUAGAUAUAUGGAAGAACACCAGUGGCGAAGGCGGCUGUCUGGUCUGUAACUGACGCUGAGGCUCGAAAGUAUGGGUAGCAAACAGGAUUAGAUACCCUGGUAGUCCAUACCGUAAACGAUGAAUGCUAAGUGUUGGAGGGUUUCCGCCCUUCAGUGCUGCAGCUAACGCAUUAAGCAUUCCGCCUGGGGAGUACGGCCGCAAGGCUGAAACUCAAAGGAAUUGACGGGGGCCCGCACAAGCGGUGGAGCAUGUGGUUUAAUUCGAAGCUACGCGAAGAACCUUACCAGGUCUUGACAUACUAUGCAAAUCUAAGAGAUUAGACGUUCCCUUCGGGGACAUGGAUACAGGUGGUGCAUGGUUGUCGUCAGCUCGUGUCGUGAGAUGUUGGGUUAAGUCCCGCAACGAGCGCAACCCUUAUUAUCAGUUGCCAGCAUUAAGUUGGGCACUCUGGUGAGACUGCCGGUGACAAACCGGAGGAAGGUGGGGAUGACGUCAAAUCAUCAUGCCCCUUAUGACCUGGGCUACACACGUGCUACAAUGGAUGGUACAACGAGUUGCGAACUCGCGAGAGUAAGCUAAUCUCUUAAAGCCAUUCUCAGUUCGGAUUGUAGGCUGCAACUCGCCUACAUGAAGUCGGAAUCGCUAGUAAUCGCGGAUCAGCAUGCCGCGGUGAAUACGUUCCCGGGCCUUGUACACACCGCCCGUCACACCAUGAGAGUUUGUAACACCCAAAGUCGGUGGGGUAACCUUUUAGGAACCAGCCGCCUAAGGUGGGACAGAUGAUUAGGGUG